GCCGGCAUGGUGGAAUAGCAUACACAGCAGUCUCAGAAACUGCCGUCGCAAGACAUGGAGGUGCAACCCCUCCUGCCGGCACCA
rnacentral:tRNA from 1 species